rnacentral:rRNA from 1 species
CCCAGACAACCAGGAUGUUGGCUUAGAAGCAGCCAUGCAUUCAAAGAGUGCGUAACAGCUCACUGGCCGAGUGGACAUGCGCCGACAAUACACGGGGCUAAGCUGCGCGCCGAAGCGGCGGACUGAUCUUAUCAGUGGUAGGGGAGCUUCCCCCGGGGGGCGAAGCGGAAGGGGCGACCUUCCGUGGACCGCGGGGGAGUGAGGAUGCUGGCAUGAGUAGCGAGAGCAGGGUGGGAAACCCUGCCGCCGUAAGCCCAAGGUUUCCUGGGCAAGGCUUGUCCUCCCAGGGUCAGUCGGGUGCUAAGCCGAGGCGGACACGCGUAGGCGAACGCGCGACAGGCGGACAUUCCUGUACCGCCGCGGCGCCGUCACGACCGACGGGGCGACGGAGGGGGGUAGGCCGGCGGGGUUCUGGACGCCCCCGUGAAAGCCGGUAGGCCGGGAGGGCAGGUAAGUCCGCCCUCCCACACCAAAGGCCGAGACGCGAGACGAAGCCGCAUGGCGAAGCGGCCGAGCCCGUACUCCCGAGAAAAACCCCUAGGCAGGCGCCGCGGCGCCCGUACCAAGACCGACUCAGGUGGGCGGGUAGAGCAUACCGAGGCGAUCGGGGGAACCGUGGUCAAGGAACUCGGCAUAAUCGCCCCGUAACCUAGGGAGAAGGGGUGCCGGCGGGGGUGGAGGGACUUGCUCCCCGAGCCCGGGCCGGCCGCAGCGAAGAGGCCCAAGCGACUGUUUACCAAAAACACAGGACUCUGCCAAGCCGCAAGGCGACGUAUAGGGUCUGACGCCUGCCCGGUGCCGGAAGGUCACGCGGAGGGGUCAGCCGCAAGGCGAAGCCCCGAAGCCAAGCCCCGGUAAACGGCGGCCGUAACUAUAACGGUCCUAAGGUAGCGAAAUUCCUUGUCGGGUAAGUUCCGACCUGCACGAACGGCGUAACGACUUGGGCGCUGUCUCGACCACGGACCCGGCGAAAUUGCACUGUUCGUGAAGAUGCGAACUGCCCGCGGAAGGACGGAAAGACCCCGUGAACCUUCACUGCAGCUUGGCGCUGGCCGACGGUUCGGCGCGUAGAGGAUAGGCGGGAGGCGAAGAAAGGGGGGCGCCAGCCCCCCCGGAGCCGCCCUUGGAAUACCGCCCUCGCAGCUCCGGCGGCCUAACCCCGCUCCGUCAUCCGGGCGGGGGACCGCGCCAGGCGGGCAGUUUGACUGGGGCGGUCGCCUCCCAAAAGGCAACGGAGGCGCGCGCAAGCUCGGCUCAGGACGGUCGGCAACCGUCCGCAGAGCGCAAGAGUGCAAGCCGGGCUGACUGCGAGGGAGACACCCCGAGCAGGGACGAAAGUCGGCUCUAGUGAUCCGGCGGCCCCGAGUGGAAGGGCCGUCGCUCAACGGAUAAAAGGUACUCCGGGGAUAACAGGCUGAUCUUGCCCAAGAGUCCACAUCGACGGCAAGGUUUGGCACCUCGAUGUCGGCUCAUCGCAUCCUGGGGCUGGAGCAGGUCCCAAGGGUACGGCUGUUCGCCGUUUAAAGCGGUACGCGAGCUGGGUUCAGAACGUCGUGAGACAGUUCGGUCCCUAUCCUCCGCGGGCGCAAGGGAACUGAGGAGAGCUGCCCCUAGUACGAGAGGACCGGGGUGGACGCACCUCCGGUGGCGCGGUUGUCGACCAACGGCACGGCCGCCUGGCCGCGUGCGGCGCGGAUAACCGCUGAAGGCAUCUAAGCGGGAAGCCGCCUCCGAGAUGAGUUCCCUCUCCGGUAAGGGCCCUGGCAGAACACCAGGUCGAUAGGCCGCAGCUGCAAGCGCCGCGAGGCGCUCAGGCGAGCGGCACUAACAGCCCGAGCUCUUCACCCC